rnacentral:lncRNA from 1 species
AAUUCAGGCCCUUACAUUGUGUCUAGUGCUUUUCUAAGCACUUUAUAUAUAAUGUUAUUUGUUUCACACUACAUCACCAUCAGGUCGGAACUGUUAUUAUCCCAAUUUUGCAGGUGACAAAACUGAAACACAAAGAGUUUAACUAUCUUACUCAUAAGAGAAGGAAAUAGAUAAAACUCAGGAUGUCUGUCGCCAGAUGAGAGUGCCACAGAGGGUAUCAACUCCCUUUAGGAACAGAGUUCAAUGAUCAGUAGGAUAAAAGCAUCUACAUUCAUUUCAUAGAGGCCACAUUUCCAAGAAAAAAUAACAUAGAAUGCAAUAUGUUAGCCCAAAUAAUCAGCAGAAAAGGAGAAAACAUUAUUCUUUAUAACAUUAACAUUACAAGAUAUUAAUUAACAUUGUUAAAAUACUUUGGAAAAUUAUUAGGCAGUACCUACUAAAGCUGAAUAUAUGUAUACCUGACAACCAACAUUUCAUCCUUACAUAUUUGCCAACAUGAAUGAGAACAUAUGUUCACUAAAAGACACAUUCUAAGAUUGGCUUAUUAUUUAGUUAUAAGUCAUUGCAAAAUCAAAUGCUUUGAAAACUACAAUUUUCUUGCAGAGAAAAAGAAAUUAGGCAGUGGAAUACUGAAAAAUUUUUUAAAAUUAUGUAUGUCUGUUUGUCGUUGUAUUCAGGUACCAAACUGUAUGUAGUGUGCCUUCUAAUGACCAAUUUAAUCUCCAUGGGUUAUACUAAAAGUUGAAAGCAAAGGAAACACAAAUCAAAAUUUUAAUUUAUAAUCUUUACCAAUCGAAGGUGUAUAUUUCACUGUCCAUUAUGUUGCCCUAUUCAGUGGAAGAUACUUGAAUCAAAUUACUUUACUGUUAGAGUAAGAUUAAUUAGCACAAUGAAUUUAUCCACAAUUAUCAGUGUUACUUUUCAGAAAUCUUUCACUUUUUGUUGCAGCUGGUUGAGGCUUUAUUCAAUUCAAAUUCAAGCUGUUAAAUCGAGGCUCUCAGACUCCUGCUGCCUGGCCAGUGGAGAAAUUAACUUUCACAUAUGGCUUUGGGAUUUCUCUCUGUCAUCCUGGUCGACGUGUUCUCUCAUUUUUCUGAAGUCUGGGACCUCAACACAGACAUCUGGGUGAAGGCCUUGACAGCAGCGCUGGUGCAAAAUGAAUUGUCACAUCACACCCAACGUUCUCAACCUUUAGAAUCUGAAAGUAAGAAAAACACCUCAAACAAAACAUUAAAGAUUGAAUAAUUGAAGGCACUAUGCUUGGUGCUGAAGAAGGUCUAAGGAGGUCUACACCACAGAGGCUGCACCCACUCCUCAGCCUUGCUGAGCCACACCAUUCUCAUCUCUACAGCAUCCACCUCUCUUGGCUCUUGUAAGGAUUGAGACAUGCCACCAGGCUUACUGUAAGCACUGAACAGCUGGGAGGAUUUGAUGCUGUCCCACUGCCAUACCAAGGGGCAAGUUUUCUGGACUUGCCUAGACCUUAUAGCAGAUUAAGUACUUUUAUUUCACUGAACAAAGUUUAGAGAUCAUUUUACAUCACUGAACAAAGUUUAGAGAUUUGGAGAGUAUUUGUUUUUAAUUUCUAUGGAUCUGCUUAUACUUCUCUUUUGCAAAUUGAAACACCGUGGAAGAUUUUUUGGAACUUAGGUUGAGAGUUGUACAUGGCUUCAGAGUUGCUGUGGAUUUCUAUCUCCAUGGGGCCAUCUGUCUCAUCUGUCUAUAUAAUGGUCAUGCACUUUGCAGAGCCUGCUUCAAUGUCUGCUAUACUAUGGCCACUCUGCCAGUGUUGUUGACAAACAGAUGGGUUUUGAUGGCAGAGAAACUUAUAUUUAGCAAGUCUUCCUUUUGCCCUUGAACUUUUCCACCUGUUGUUUGCACCAGCAACUCCCAUGGCAAAUGUGAAAAAGCAAAAAAUAAGGAAUAUUACAAGAUGGGACUAACAUUAAAAUGUAUGUUUUCAUCAAACAUGAUCAAG